GACGAACGCUGGCGGCGUGCUUAACACAUGCAAGUCGAACGAGGCCCCUCCUUCGGGAGGGUGUCCUAGUGGCGAACGGGUGAGUAACACGUGGGCAACCUGCCCCCGGCUCUGGGAUAACCCCAAGAAAUUGGGGCUAAUACCGGAUAUGACAGCUGACCGCAUGGUCGGUGGUGGAAAGUUUUGUCGGCUGGGGAUGGGCCCGCGGCCUAUCAGCUUGUUGGUGGGGUAGUGGCCUACCAAGGCGGCGACGGGUAGCCGGCCUGAGAGGGUGACCGGCCACACUGGGACUGAGACACGGCCCAGACUCCUACGGGAGGCAGCAGUGGGGAAUAUUGCGCAAUGGGCGGAAGCCUGACGCAGCGACGCCGCGUGGGGGAUGACGGCCUUCGGGUUGUAAACCUCUUUCAGCAGGGACGAAGCGAAAGUGACGGUACCUGCAGAAGAAGCACCGGCCAACUACGUGCCAGCAGCCGCCGCAGUAA
rnacentral:rRNA from 1 species